rnacentral:rRNA from 1 species
UGUGCCUACGGGGGGCAGCAGUGGGGAAUAUUGGGCAAUGGGGGCAACCCUGACCCAGCAACGCCGCGUGAAGGAAGAAGGCUUUCGGGUUGUAAACUUCUUUGACGAGGGACGAAAAAAAUGACGGUACCUCGAAAACAAGCCACGGCUAACUACGUGCCAGCAGCCGCGGUAAUACGUAGGUGGCAAGCGUUGUCCGGAUUUACUGGGUGUAAAGGGCGCGUAGGCGGGACUGCAAGUCAGAUGUGAAAUGCAGAGGCUCAACCUCUGAGCUGCAUUUGAAACUGUAGUUCUUGAGUAUCGGA